UACGUAGGUGACAAGCGUUGUCCGGAUUUACUGGGCGUAAAGCGCACGUAGGCGGAUUGCUAAGUCAGGGGUGAAAUCCUGGAGCUCAACUCCAGAACUGCCUUUGAUACUGGCGACCUUGAGUCCGGGAGAGGUGAGUGGAACUGCGAGUGUAGAGGUGAAAUUCGUAGAUAUUCGCAAGAACACCAGUGGCGAAGGCGGCUCACUGGCCCGGUACUGACGCUGAGGCACGAAAGCGUGGGGAUCAAACAGG
rnacentral:rRNA from 1 species